CCGAAAGUAUAAAUCCGACGGCAGACAAGCAACUUAUUUUCCAAAGGAAAGAAAUUUAUUUGCUGAAUCACAUUGAACUUUCAUGACUCUUUUACACUUCCAAACGGAAUCCUAAAUUUCAGGAAAGAUUUACCAUUACCCAAUUCAAUUACAAAAUCUAAAUGGAUUUCGAUUUCCAGAAGAAUCGGGUUCAAAUUCUCAUCUUCAUCAUCGGAAUAGUUGGUCUCAGUAUCACUGCUGAUAAAUGUAGGCAACUGGUUGGUGAAGAUUCUUCAUCCCAGAGUGGAAAGUUUACCAUCUUUAACUGCUUUGACAUGAGCACUGGGACCCUGGCAUGCACAGUGAAAGAAGGUGUGAAGCUGUAUUUUUACAACAUCAGGUCUGCUCAUGUUGAGAAGGCUAGGAAUCUUGCAAUAGAGCGUGCAUUACUUGAUGCAUUGGGACAGGGAAUAUCUGCAAAAGAUGCAGCAAAACAAGCACAGAAAGAAGGGGCAAAGGCUGCAAAGCUGGCAACCCGACAAGCAAAACGCAUUAUAGGUCCCAUUAUUUCUUCUGGCUGGGACUUUUUU
rnacentral:misc_RNA from 1 species